UUAGAGUCUGAUCCUGGCUCAGGAUGAACGCUGACAGAAUGCUUAACACAUGCAAGUCUACUUGAACUUCGGUUUGGGUGGCGGACGGGUGAGUAACGCGUAAAGAACUUGCCUCACAGUUAGGGACAACAUUUGGAAACGAAUGCUAAUACCUGAUAUUAUGAUUUUAGGGCAUCCUAAGAUUAUGAAAGCUAUAUGCGCUGUGAGAGAGCUUUGCGUCCCAUUAGCUAGUUGGAGAGGUAACGGCUCACCAAGGCGAUGAUGGGUAGCCGGCCUGAGAGGGUGAACGGCCACAAGGGGACUGAGACACGGCCCUUACUCCUACGGGAGGCAGCAGAAGGG
rnacentral:rRNA from 1 species